GCCCCCCCGCUUCCGGAUACAGCAGACCUCGCGACAAGUGGAGCUGUCGCGAGAGGAUGCCAGCGGUCUUCCUCGUCCUAUCCGGGCGGGGCGGGGAAGACGAAAAGCUCUUGGUGAGGCUGGGCCUUUCUGGGGACGAUGCCGUCCGCAUUCUCAGUGAGCUCGUUCCCCGUCAGCAUCCCCGCCGUGAUCAUGCAGACAGACUGGACGGAGCCGUGGCUGGUCGGGCUGGUCAUCUUCCACGUACUCUGCCUGCUGCUCACCUGCUUCUCAUCCCGGAGGUAUAAGCUACAGGUCGGGCACUUCCUGUGUCUGGUGACGCUGGUCUACUGCGCCGAGUACAUCAAUGAGGUUGCGGCCAUGAACUGGAGGUCCUUCUCAAAGUACCAGUAUUUCGACUCGAGGGGGAUGUUCGUGUCCCUGGUCUUCUCGGCACCGCUGCUGCUCAACGCCCUGGCCAUCGUGAUCCUGUGGGUGCGCAAGACGCUGGCGGUGAUGAGCGACCUGAGGACCUUACAGCAGCGCCGGGGGCGGCCGAAGCAGCAGUGACGGCUCUGCCCCCGGCUGGCGCCUGGGCAUCCAGACCCGCCCCGCGUCCCGAGACGCUUGGGCUGGCUUUGAAGGGCGCUCGCCCGGCCUGGGUCCACCCAGAAGGUCUGAGUCUCCCUAGUUAAACUGUAAAUGGAGCCCCUGCAGUCAAGCCUGAGCUCGGGACACCCUGUCUGUCCAUACUCCCCCAUCACCCCUGUCACCCCCAUGCUCCCCGUCAGCCCCCUGUCACGGUCACCCCUGUCACCCCUGUCACUGCCAUCACCCUGGUCUGGCCUUCGUGGUGACGGCCUCUCCAGGCAGGGCUGCCGCUGGACAGGGCAGGAGGGGCCGCCUGGCCUCUGUGCAGUUGGAGGCGUCACGGCGCCGGUGGAGGCCGGAGUCGGGAUCUUCAGAGGCGGCAGCCGCGCGAGCCCCUUGAGUUGUGCUUCAGGAAGGAACGUCGCCAUUAAAACAGUCAGCAGCUGCCUGGUUCAACUAAGAGGUUUUAUGGCAAAUACCGAGACGGGUUCUGUCCCUUGGUUCCUGCCUCUUACAUUCUGCUCGGGGACAUGCCACCGCCUCUUCUGUUGGAGCAGGUGCACUGAUUCGGUGUCACGGCCGCGCUGCGGACUAGACCUGCAGCUGGAGGGUGGGGGCCGCAUGUCUAAACUCAGCGUUUGAGAAAGAGGAGGCGGUUGGCUCCUGAUGGGGUUUGAAAAAAUAGCUUGCGAGCCUUCCUGCGGUGACUCAAAGGGAUCAGCGGCAUCUCUGCAGCGCUGGGCGCGGGUUUGAUCCCUGGCCGGGUGCAGUGGGUUAAGGCUCUGACAGGGCUGCAGCUGCAGUGUAAGUCACGCUGGGACGUGGCUCUGAUCCUGGCCCAGGAAAGCCAUGUGCCAUGGGGUGGCCUGAAAAAAAGAGAGGAAGUAGUUUAUGAAUAGUUGUCUUAAUUUUAAGAAGAUGUUUUCCCUUAAAUGAAGUAUAUUUUUCAAAUUUCAAAAGAAAAAAAAUUGGUCACGUGAAAGCAUUAUAUUUAGUGGUUCAGAGGGUAACACUGCUGGAUGAUGGGAUUAAAUCUUGAAAUCCAGACGUAAAGACAGCUGUAAACUCUUAGCAGAGAAAUUAUUUCCUUAAUUUUGACGUUGGUUUUAGAACCGAGUCGAUAGAACUUCCUAGAUCAAUCUCUUGGAGCUUUUAACCUCACAUCCUUUCUUGAUGUGAACGUCUGUACUGAACAUUGAAAAAAUUGACUCAGCAACAGCAUGUCACGUGAAAUCCAGUUUUAGAUGUCUUGCACCUGAUGACAUCCUGAGGGUGCGUUGCUGAAAGUGACCAGUUCAGGGUGUUCCUUGGUGUCCUGGCUUCAGAAGAGUCGCCUGCAUCUGAGCAGCUCCCGGGAGCCCACAGCGGCAGGGGCUGCGGGCGGGGUCGAGUGUCCCCUCCAGCGCCGGCCUGGGGCCAGGGGACAGAAGUGCCCGUGGCAACGUCCUGCCCUUGCCCUCGGCCCCUCGGAGCCCAGGGAGUGCAGGCAUUUCCACCGUCUGGAGCCACUCCUGUCAGCGCGAGACUGUGACUGGCUCUCAGCUGUCCUGUGAAGACCGGGUAAUGACAUCGUCAUUGGCCUGGAUGUGGGGUCAGACGUCCUGUCGAAAAACACGACGUAGGGCCUUUUCGUUCACUGGUGUGUGUAAGUUUUGGGGAAUCGUUGUGUUUUAUUUUCACAAACACAACCUGUUUUUAAAACUUUUAGUAGGUUUCUCUCCAGUGGCUUAAAGGGCAGUGUUUACGAACACCAGGCGGUCCUCAUGCUUGGGACACACUCCAAGCCGUCGCUGUCCCAGCACUUCAGGUCACCUCAAGUGUGGGGACUGUGGCCCUUUCGGGGCAUCGGGGUGCUGCUGGGGCUUGGGGCCUCCAGGCAGGUGGAAGGGCAGCCUGUGUCUGUCAUCUGCGGACGAGGAGACGAGAGACACGCGUGGUCAAGGCGCAUUUAGCCCGUUCCAGACCUGCGACCUUCAGUUUGUCAGUUGCUGUGUAAUAAAGUCUUAUUUUAUUUC
rnacentral:lncRNA from 1 species